UCCCAGCCAUGCCGAGCCCGGCCACCU
rnacentral:piRNA from 1 species